ACGCGAAAUAAAAGAAGAGGCUGGGCGAGCAAGCUAGCUAGGAAUUAGCUAACAGCAUGGAUGAGCUAGAUGAUGCGGUUGUGUCGACGUUAAGAGCUGCAAACAUCAGUGAGGCAAUGAUGGGCAACCUGUCUCGUGAAGACUUGCGGGACCUUUUCCCAGGACCAGAGAACUUUUUAAGAAGAAAAGCGAUCUGGAUUGCUUGUCAUGGUGCAUCAGAGGAGGAUUCUGGUAAAGAAGAUUCAACUUUAGUGAGCUGUUCCUCCAAUAAUAGGUCACCUAUGCAACAGACAUCCACUCCAAUGAAGUCCAGUCUUCCCAAGUUUGAAACUCCUGAAAAGGUUGUGAAAUUAACCUUUCCAGAAUAUGUACUCCACACUG